CCUUCGAUAGCUCAGUUGGAAGAGCGCAAGACUGUAAUGGAAAUCAUGUGAUCUUGAUGUCGCUGGUUCGAUCCCGGCUCGAAGGA
rnacentral:tRNA from 1 species